rnacentral:rRNA from 1 species
UACAGAGGGUGCGAGCGUUAAUCGGAAUUACUGGGCGUAAAGGGUGCGUAGGUGGUUUUGUAAGUUAGGUGUGAAAUUCCUGGGCUUAACCUGGGGACUGCGCCUGAUACUGCAAGGCUAGAGUACUGUAGAGGAAGGUGGAAUUUCCAGUGUAGCGGUGAAAUGCGUAGAUAUUGGAAGGAACAUCGGUGGCGAAGGCGACCUUCUGGACAGCUACUGACACUGAGGCACGAAAGCAUGGGGAGCAAACAGG